GUAGGUGAACCUGCGGAAGGAUCAUUAAAAAUUCUGAGUGUUCACGCAUUCUAAUUUCCACCCUGUGUAUCUGUUACCGUAUGCUUUCGCUGGGCUGUGGAGGAAUGAGUCCUUGCGGCUCGCCUCCCCUUCUGACCGGGCAACAGCCCCCUCGGGAGAGUCCUGGCGGGAGCCAACCAAACAAACCCUUUUUAGUUACAUAUAGUCUGAAAAUGAUCUAAAAAAUCAAUUAAAACUUUCAACAAUGGAUCUCUUGGUUCUC
rnacentral:misc_RNA from 1 species